AUGGUCUCUCUUUAUUUCAGCUACAUGAAUCUAGUGUUGAUCGUGCAGCUUUUGUGGACUUUGUGCUUGGCUUGUCAGGAUAUAUUUUCUCUGAGGAAUAACAGGGAUCUUCAUGCCCCGGAUUUUCUAUUGUUCUUUGUUAUAAUUGAUUGGGUCAUGGCGAUUCUCAUGUUCUCUGGAUUCUGUGCCUCUGCCAGCGUGACGAUUUUCUUCAUGAAGGAUAUGAACUUCUGCGCGGAAUACCGGCGUCUGGACUGCAGUCAGUUCACACUUUCAGUCACUCUGGCGUUCUUUACAUGGUUGUUGCAAGCUACGUCUUCUUUCUCUGGGUUCUGGCUACUGAUUUCAUUCUUCUAG
rnacentral:rRNA from 1 species